AUUGAACGCUGGCGGCAUGCCUUACACAUGCAAGUCGAACGGUAACAGGUCUUCGGAUGCUGACGAGUGGCGAACGGGUGAGUAAUACAUCGGAACGUGCCCGAUCGUGGGGGAUAACGAGGCGAAAGCUUUGCUAAUACCGCAUACGAUCUACGGAUGAAAGCGGGGGAUCUUCGGACCUCGCGCGGACGGAGCGGCCGAUGGCAGAUUAGGUAGUUGGUGGGAUAAAAGCUCACCAAGCCGACGAUCUGUAGCUGGUCUGAGAGGAUGAUCAGCCACACUGGGACUGAGACACGGCCCAGACUCCUACGGGAGGCAGCAGUGGGGAAUUUUGGACAAUGGGCGAAAGCCUGAUCCAGCCAUGCCGCGUGCAGGAUGAAGGCCUUCGGGUUGUAAACUGCUUUUGUACGGAACGAAAAGCCUCUUUCUAAUAAAGAGGGGUCAUGACGGUACCGUAAGAAUAAGCACCGGCUAACUACGUG
rnacentral:rRNA from 1 species